rnacentral:lncRNA from 1 species
UUUUAUUUCCCUUCUUUGGGCUUCCGUAAGUUCUCCUUCUCAGAGAGAACCAGUGUCUUGCAGAUCUGUAAGCACCAAUCCACUGUUGCACUGGAGCCCUGUUGGUAUGUUGGUGAGACAUGUGGGAGAGGAGUAAUCUCUAAUCUUAUGAUUAAGUCUCAAGUCUCUUAGUGGGCUUGAGUCUCUGGCACGUGACCAUCACAUAUGGUAGCUUUCCCAUCCGUCUUAGGUGAGAUGGGAAGGCUAGAAGGGGCUGGAGUGAGAGGAAUGCCCUUCCCCACAGCUUUAGGACAAAGCUCUGGUAAAGUCUUUCCCCUCGGGAGUAGAUCUCUGUUAUUUAGAAAGCCCUUGGCAUAUUUCACAAGCAUUACUCUUCCCCUCCACCUGCCAGACCAUGAGGGAAUGUUCCUCUGAUCUUCACCAUAAGAAACCAGUGGGUUUCCUAGAGGUAAUGCUCACUGAAGCAGCGCUUCCUCUAAGACUGGUUCCCACUGCUGAUCCCACCAGUUUAUGGCUCCAGCACUUCUGCUCCAGUCUGCUGGGAAAGACAUCCAUCACAUAAGCCUGUAAGUUAAAAAUGGAACUGUGACCUUGAGCUCUAAGAGCAUCUGACAGGCAGAUCGGACCUCAGGGGGUCAGAGAAGGCUGGGCUGCUCUGUGGAGGCGAUGAUGGAGGGGAGAUGUGAAGACAAGGAGGUGACUGGGCGUGGAGGGUAGGAUGGAGAUGUCAUCACCACCCUCCCUGAACCAGACCAAGCCUCACCACAAGAGCUACACCUAUGACCUUUGCCUUAUUUUUAAUGCUAAGAUCUCUCCAGGAGGAGCUUAGGCCUUAUCACUGUAACCCGCAGUGUGUGUGGAAGAAUGUCUUCUAACUGAGCCUGCGCAAGCGAAUACCCAUCUCUCCCUUUUGAAUAUUCAUUCCCCAUCCGAAAUAAAUGUCCCUGCUUCCCUUUCUUCGGGGACGCCGGAACUCUGGAAAUGAUUCCUCGUGGUCUCCUAUUUGCCACAAAUAUACUUUACUGUGAGACAACUCCUUCUGGUGGAGAGUCUGAUUUAACUCACCAGGAAGGAACCCACUUCGGUUUCGGUAACAAUACGAAGCCAGCUCUGGGCUCUGUACCAACUUCCUUGUUCCCUAUUCACUCUCUGUUUUUCUCUUCCUUGUUCCUUCUUCUUUAUCCCAUAAAAGCUUCCUGGCUUCCAGCCAUUUUGCAGUUCUCUGGACCCUUAGGAAUAGAGACUACUCACUUCAUGAGCUUUAAUGCUUUGUGUUAAAUAAAGUUUGUUUGUAUCGCCUAAAUUG